rnacentral:rRNA from 1 species
UACGGAGGGUGCAAGCGUUAUCCGGAAUCAUUGGGUUUAAAGGGUUCGUAGGCGGGUUAAUAAGUCAGAGGUGAAAUCUGGUCGCUCAACGAUCAAAUUGCCUUUGAUACUGUUAGUCUUGAGUUAUAUUGAAGUAGAUAGAAUAUGUAGUGUAGCGGUGAAAUGCAUAGAUAUUACAUAGAAUACCGAUUGCGAAGGCAGUCUACUAAGUAUAUACUGACGCUGAUGAACGAAAGCGUGGUUAGCGAACGGG